CAACUGUAUCUUCUUCUUUUUUCUCUUUUUCCGACCACCACCACGUUUCCUCCGCCAAAUUUUUUAGAUUUGUUUCUGUUAUAUUCUCCACCGGAUUCUUUUGUUUCGACUACGUUCACAAAAACUAAACCCUAAAGGAUAGUGCACAUAGGGAACCCAAGGAGAAAAUCAAACGGAUUGAGAGUAUUAAUCUUCUUCCUCUCUUUUUUCUGUCAAAUUGU